UGGGGAAUAUUGGACAAUGGGCGAAAGCCUGAUCCAGCCAUGCCGCGUGAGUGAUGAAGGCCCUAGGGUUGUAAAGCUCUUUCACCGGUGAAGAUAAUGACGGUAACCGGAGAAGAAGCCCCGGCUAACUUCGUGCCAGCAGCCGCGGUAAUACGAAGGGGGCUAGCGUUGUUCGGAAUUACUGGGCGUAAAGCGCACGUAGGCGGAUUGUUAAGUCGGGGGUGAAAUCUCGGGGCUCAACCCCGGAACUGCCUUCGAUACUGGCAAUCUAGAGUCCGGAAGAGGUGAGUGGAAUUCCGAGUGUAGAGGUGAAAUUCGUAGAUAUUCGGAGGAACACCAGUGGCGAAGGCGGCUCACUGGUCCGGUACUGACGCUGAGGUGCGAAAGCGUGGGGAGCAAACA
rnacentral:rRNA from 1 species